rnacentral:tRNA from 1 species
GGGGAUUUGGCUCAGUGGUAGAGCGUUUGCCUAGCAAGCACAAGGUCCUGGGUUCGGUCCCCAGCUCCG